CGCGGUAAUACAGAGGGUGCAAGCGUUAAUCGGAAUUACUGGGCGUAAAGCGCGCGUAGGUGGUUCGUUAAGUUGGAUGUGAAAUCCCCGGGCUCAACCUGGGAACUGCAUUCAAAACUGACGAGCUAGAGUAUGGUAGAGGGUGGUGGAAUUUCCUGUGUAGCGGUGAAAUGCGUAGAUAUAGGAAGGAACACCAGUGGCGAAGGCGACCACCUGGACUGAUACUGACACUGAGGUGCGAAAGCGUGGGGAGCAAACAGGAUUA
rnacentral:rRNA from 1 species